rnacentral:rRNA from 1 species
GACGAACGCUGGCGGCGUGCUUAACACAUGCAAGUCGAACGCUGAAGCUUGGUGCUUGCACUGGGUGGAUGAGUGGCGAACGGGUGAGUAAUACGUGAGUAACCUGCCCUUGACUCUGGGAUAAGCCUGGGAAACUGGGUCUAAUACUGGAUAUGACAUGCCACUGCAUGGUGGUGUGUGGAAAGGGUUUUACUGGUUUUGGAUGGGCUCACGGCCUAUCAGCUUGUUGGUGGGGUAAUGGCCUACCAAGGCGACGACGGGUAGCCGGCCUGAGAGGGUGACCGGCCACACUGGGACUGAGACACGGCCCAGACUCCUACGGGAGGCAGCAGUGGGGAAUAUUGCACAAUGGGCGGAAGCCUGAUGCAGCGACGCCGCGUGAGGGAUGACGGCCUUCGGGUUGUAAACCUCUUUCAGCACGGAAGAAGCGAGAGUGUCGGUACGUGCAGAAGAAGCGCCGGCUAACUACGUG